UAUCAAAAUGGUCAUCCAAUUCUGCUG
rnacentral:sRNA from 1 species